CUCGGGAGGGUCACUGCUCUGUAAGCGCGCACUGAGUCUUGCGGGAGGAACUGGUUUGGAGCUGGCCCUCUCGGACUCCUGGAAGUUGCAAGAACGAUGGGAGAGGCCUCUCCUAGGAUGGCUCACUCCAGGGAGCGAGGGCACCAAGGGCCUUUGAGAGGUCUCGAUUGCAUUUACAUGUCAUUUCGCCAUCUCCUGUUCUCGGCUGAGUCCAGAGACCAGAAGUGAGUCUAAGGCAUCAAAGCGGAAAUGUACCCACACCCCAAGCCCGGCGCCAGUGUGCAAGUGAACCCCAAAGCACCUCUGGGCAGAAGGUCUGACUCUCCUGGGAAACAUGAGAUGAGCUAAGCCCCCAGAUCCGUGCUGUGCUUCUCAAGAGCAGCAGUAUUUAGGGCGACUGACCUCGACUCCUCUCACAAGAUGAGCUCAGUUUUGAAAGAAAAAAAAGCAACGACAACAAAAACUCCAGACAAAACGAAAAGCCAAGUCAGGAGAGAGGGGAAAGAGAAAGUCUGCUCCCCUCACACACACGCACUCGCACAACCCAAAUCCUCCAGCACAAGCUUGUUCAAAAAUGAGUGUCUGCAAUUCCAAAGCUCUGGUCACGGGAAAAUCCGCCUGUCAGCGGCUGGGCUCAUCUCACCUUCCCUUCCUUCCAUCCAACAAUCUGGUGUUUGGGCGGGUUGAACCUGCCAGGGUGAGGAGGACAAGGCCAGCUGGCCACCACAGCCUGCCGGCCACCCACCGCCAGUAAGGCCAGAACGCAAAUCCAGUCCAGGAGACAACCGUCCGUUUGGCCCCACCCUUCCUUCCCUCUGAACCCCACAAACCACAUGCUCCACUUGACAGUAUUCACUGGCAUCAAGCCUCAGACCCUCCCACCCAUCAGCUGGCUCACCCCUUCCCUUAGAAAUGGCCAAAACAUCACCAAAUAGGCACUAAGCACCUAGACGGCCGCAAAGACCCAGAUGGGUCCGCAAGACCCCACGGAGCAGAAGCCAAUCCACCUGUGGUUUCUGAGGCUCCACUUACGACACUCUCCUGGACCUUCCUUUCUUCCCUCUUAGCCUCAGCCACGUUUCUUCAGUAAAGAAAGACGGAGCUAACUCCAGAGCAGGUGGCCUUCUAGGUUAUCUGUGGUCUAACAAGGACUCCACUGGCAUCCCUCUACUUGAGAGCUGGGUCCUAGGGGCUGGCAGCCCUUUAUCCAUCCUACUUGCCAGGGCGACUCAGAGGACGGGGUGAGAGCACACGCAGAGGCUGGCUUCUCCCACUGGGGUCUUUCCCUAGGGCUUCUGACCCCUCAGCUCUGGGGCUUAGGCUGAGGAGGGGUUGGGGAUGGGGUGCUUGGGGAGGGCGCUAAUGUGGGCUGGCCACUGCCUGAGGUCCCCUUCAUUAACUCCAGGGAAGCCAGUCAUUCCAAACCUUCCUUCAUCUCAGGCCCUGUAGUUUCUAGGUUUGGGGAGCAGCAUGUGGGCCAUCAAUUUUGGGGGAGCAGCAGCCGGAGUGUCCAAGGAGCUGCUGGACUUGGGUCAGUGUUUCUCUAGCCUCCUACUAUCCCUCCACCAAUUUUUUUUUUUUUUUUUUUUGGCUCCAUAGUUUGUCCCUGGAAUCAUGUGCUGAGAAGAUGGGGUCGGGGUGGGGAAGGGGGCCUGAAGGAGGAGGCAGAGUGGUACCACCUGCCUGG
rnacentral:lncRNA from 1 species